AUGGGGCCGGGGGGUGGGGGCCCUGUACUUCCGGGAGGACCCCAUCUUGGGGAGCGCAUCCGUGUCCCCGCCCAGCCCCCACACCCCUGGAACUCCUGCUCCCUGCUGCCCGUGCCCAGCACACACUCACACAGGGCGACUCCCACAGGUUUGUGGAGAACGAGUUUAACAAGUAAGUUUAUCUCGGUGCAAAAAAAGGUUUUUGAAAUCCAUUGCAUUACUUUUUUUCACAAUGCACACUGUCCGGGAAUUUUUUUUUUUUUUUUUUUACAGGCAGAGUGGACAGUGAGAGAGAGAGACAGAGAGAAAGGUCUUCCUUUGCCGUUGGUUCACCCUCCAAUGGCCGCCACGCUGCGGCCGGCGCACCGCGCUGAUCCGAUGGCAGGAGCCAGGUACUUAUCCUGGUCUCCCAUGGGGUGCAGGGCCCAAGCACUUGGGCCAUCCUCCACUGCACUCCCGGGCCACAGCAGAGAGCUGGCCUAGAAGAGGGGCAACCGGGACAGAAUCUGGCGCCCCGACCGGGACUAGAACCUGGUGUGCCAGCGCCACAGGCGGAGGAUUAGCCUAGUGAGCCACAGCGCCGGCCUACUGUCCAGGAAGUUUUAAAGAUAUAUUAACUCACUUGAAAGGCAGAGCAACAGAGAGAGAGAAGGAAAGACAAAAAGAUUUUCCCAUCCGCUGGUUCAAUUGGCAACAGCCAGGUCUGGACCAGGUGGAAGCUGGGAGCCAGGAAUUCCAUCCGGGUCUCCCACGCGGGUGCAGGGGCCCAGGGACCUGGGCCAUCCUCUGCUGUUUUCCCAGGCGCAGUAGCAGGGAGCUGCAUCAGACGUGGGGCAGCCGGGACUUGAGCAGGCGCUCCGAUACAGGAUGCUGUGUUUGAUUUUUCUUUUGACAGAGCUGACCUUUUAAUUUAUUUAUUUUGCAAAAGGGAGAGAAAGAAAGGAGAGAGAUCUCAGCCACUGAUUCACUCCCCAAAUAUCUUCAACAGCCCACGAUGGACCAGGCCAAAGUGAGGAGCCCGGAACUUGAUCCUGGUCUGUCGUGUGGAUGACAGGGACCCAGUACCCGAGCUGUCACCUGCUGCCUCCCCCAGCACCCCCACAAUAGCAGAGCUGGAUUCGUAAGUGGAACUGAGACAAAACCCAGGCACUCCGAGAGCAGCCUCGGCCCCACAUCCCCCUGCUGUUUUUUAAACACCUAUGACCAAUGAAGUCCUAUUUCCCACAAAAGGCAGACACAGAAAACCCGGCGUGCUGAGCCUCAGACAGAUUGUGGGUGAAGGGAAAUCCCAGCCACAGCAAAACUAAGCCACUGGCCCCAGACACCGGGAGGGGCUCUGAGGACCAGGUGACACGAAUCCCGUAGAACAACCUCAGACCACCAAGGCAGGAGGCCACGGCUGGACUGGGAGGUCCCAGAGGCUGCUGGGAGGGCGGGGGAUGCGUGGCAAUCCAGGAGGAGAC
rnacentral:lncRNA from 1 species